rnacentral:tRNA from 1 species
CGUGUGCGUAAUUUAAAAAAAAUGUCAAGCUGUGACCCUGAUAAUAGGAAUUGCUCCUCACACCCCA